rnacentral:misc_RNA from 1 species
UUGGACAAGAGUAGAUAAAUAUUAACAUUUUUAUAUAUUCCUAUUCAAUUGAUAUAUUUUAUAAACUGUUAAUUAGCGUAGGAUGCAUAUUCCCAAAUAAGUAGAGUAAUUAUAGGGGAUUUGUGUAUAAAUAUGUGAUCUUCUAUUUCAUAGAAUUAAUAAGAAAAAGAUGCAUUUCCUUCUCUUCCCUUCUCUUUCUUCUUUCUACUUCUAAUUCUUAGAUCUUAACAAUACCCAGUGGAGUUGAGUAAACAUCAAAACAAGGGACAAAAUGGGUAAAAAUUAAGCCAAGGGAACUUGUUAA